rnacentral:rRNA from 1 species
CCUACGGGAGGCUGCAGUGGGGAAUAUUGGACAAUGGGGGGAACCCUGAUCCAGCCAUGCCGCGUGUGUGAAGAAGGCCCUCGGGUUGUAAAGCACUUUCAGUGAGGAAGAACGCCUGGUGGUUAAUACCCAUCAGGAAAGACAUCACUCACAGAAGAAGCACCGGCUAACUCCGUGCCAGCAGCCGCGGUAAUACGGAGGGUGCGAGCGUUAAUCGGAAUUACUGGGCGUAAAGCGCGCGUAGGUGGCUUGAUAAGCCGGUUGUGAAAGCCCCGGGCUCAACCUGGGAACGGCAUCCGGAACUGUCCAGCUAGAGUGCAGGAGAGGGAGGUAGAAUUCCCGGUGUAGCGGUGAAAUGCGUAGAGAUCGGGAGGAAUACCAGUGGCGAAGGCGGCCUUCUGGACUGACACUGACGCUGAGGUGCGAAAGCGUGGGUAGCAAACAGGAUUAGAUACCCUGGUAGUC